rnacentral:rRNA from 1 species
GACGUAGGGCGCGAGCGUUGUCCGGAUUUAUUGGGCGUAAAGAGCUCGUAGGCGGCUUGUUGCGUCGACCGUGAAAACCCGGGGCUCAACUUCGGGCUUGCGGUCGAUACGGGCGGGCUAGAGUUCGGUAGGGGAGACUGGAAUUCCUGGUGUAGCGGUGAAAUGCGCAGAUACCAGGAGGAACACCGGUGGCGAAGGCGGGUCUCUGGGCCGAUACUGACGCUGAGGAGCGAAAGCGUGGGGAGCGAACAGG